GAGAAGGGGAUCCUUCCCGGUGGGGCUAGCAGGGAACUUGCCGGUGGCCAGAACCUGGGGCCAAGUUGGGCAGGUCUUCCCUGGAGUGGCUGGUGCCCAGGGAUGGGGUCUAGGGCAAGGAAGGGUACUCACCAGUUUUCCAAAAGGGAAGUCCGGAGCAAGAUGGGAGCUGGGGGCCGGCCUCUCCCAAUAUGUAUAUUUUAAAGAUACCUUGACUUCAAAAUUUGGAUGUAAAGAUGUGUUGCUUUGGAAAGGAGACUCUGCUUUUGUUCCUACAGAAAGCCAAAGGCUGUGGAUUUGUUCCAGAUUAAGGUACAUCAGGUUUGACCAGCCAAGACCCCCUGAAAGGUCUCCGAUGACACCAUGACCCAGAUGAUCCAACAUCCAGAAUGGUUUCAAGGCAACUGGAUCAAACGAUACACCCUCAUGGACUAUUCCAUAAUCCUAAAAUUUUCUUUGUGUCCCCAUAAGAUACAGUGCCCCCCUCCAGCAGGAAGUAGUAAGAGAAGCUAUGCCCAAAUUCCCAAAUUAUAUGUAAUUUUACUUUGUUAAGGUUAAAACCUUCCUUUUUGAAAAAAAAAAAAAAAAGAAAAGAAAAAAAGAAAAGGAAAGGGGAAGUGCUGUGGGAUGAUCUGUAUGUCACGUGUGUUGCUGAUUGGUCAAUAAAUAAAUCACUGAUUGGCCCAUGGCCAGGCAGGAAGUAUAGGCAGGACAAGGAGGAGAAUAAAGCUGGGAAGUGGAAGGCUGAGUCAGAGAGACACUGCCAGCCACCACGAUGACAAACAGCAUGUGAAGAUGCCGGUAAGCCACGAGCCAUGUGGCAAGGUAUAGAUUUAUAGAAAUGGAUUAAUUUAAGCUGUAAGAACAGUUAGCAAGAAGCCUGCCACGGCCAUACAGUUUGUAAGCAAUAUAAGUCUCUGUGUUUACUUGGUCGGUUCUGAGCAGCUGUGGGACUGGCAGGUGAGAGAGAUUUGUCCUGACUGUGGGUCAGGCAGGAAAACUCUAGCUACAAUAUGUGACAUAAAAUACAGUCUAUAAAAACAGAGCCUAGACUGCCUUUCACUGUGCACAAACCAAAACUCAUCCUUUUCUCAGGUAGAUGCAGAGAAAAUGCCCUAGUAUCAGAAGUAGGACUUUGAAAACCAAACCUCUACCAAGGCUACUCAGCAUGAAUACACAGUGUUCAUUUCCAUCAAAGCUUAUAUUUUACACCUUUAAUGUCAAAAUAAAGUGACAAAUUUGGGUUUAUAGCUCACCAUAUGCUUGCAACUUCUUGGCCAUUUGGGAAGCAUAUUGAAGCUAUAGAGUGUAAAAUUAAGCUGUAAGAAUGUUGUAAACUGAGUUAAAUAAGGUGUAAGGUUAAAUUAUACAACAUUCACUCAUUUUCUGCUAUGGUUUUGAUUAAUUUUUUUAGCCAUUAAUGAAAACACAGGUUUUUGGAUUUGAGUCAUUAAAUGACCAACAUAAUUAAAUUUUACUGGGUACUAGGAAGCCACAAAGGAAAAUCCACGUGGAACUAGAACCAUUAGAAGGAGCUUGUUUGUGACAGUCAACAGGCAAUUUAUUUGGAAAUAAGGAUGAUUAUAUCAUCAACAAAAGAGUAACCUCCAGUUAUAAAUGUUACAGAAUAAAUGAGGGAUUUGAGAAAAAGCCAAAUUUAGUGAAAUGGACUGAUUAGGAAAAUAUAUUGCUCAUAAAAACCAGAAACUUUUCCUGUAACUUAUUCAUGGCAAAUUGUUCAAAAAAUUCAUUAGGCAAGCUGAUGCCUUUGGAAGAGGAGGUAGACUUUCUCAUGACAAUAACUCCACAAAUGUGUUCUCUCAGGAAUACCCAACUCGGCAACUAAUCAAACAGAGCAUUUCUUGCUUUUUAUCAUUCUCUAAUUUCAAAUUUUGUCAUUGGCUAGAAAUCUAUUUUCAGUGUGCACAGCAGUAAUUGAGGUUGAAAAAUUUGUUUAGCUUGCAAACCAUCACUGCAAAUCAGAUGCAGAUUUACAGUUAAGUCAGUUAAUGUUUUACCAUGAUUUCCUAUAAUAUAAAAAUGUGAAUUUUAUUUUUUAACCUUCUAAGUUUAAACAAUGAGAGUAGUAUGUAUGAUUGUAUUGUCACGGACUGAAGGAGAGGUUGCUUAUUCUAAAAAAUGCAAAUGAAAUCUAUUUUAAGUAUGAAAAGGGUUUUAUGAACUUAAGUUUCUUUCUAGUCCCUGCCAAAAUCUCAGCAUGAUGAAAGAAUCAAUGGCAGAGCGUUGUCAUGGUGACUGUGGUCCAACUCAGAAGGACUAGGUAGAUGGUUUCCAUUAUAAACUACAUGUUGGUAAAUGUCAUAUGCUACUUAGAAUUAGUGGUUUUAGGGAAGCAGUUGAGGAAUAGCACUUCUUGUGUUAGAACCUCACAUUUUAGUCUAACUGGGGCUGUAUGAAAUGUUAUAAAACAAAGAUGAAAAGCAACAAAAACAGUGCUUUGCUCUCAAUAUUCUCCCUUCCUUUCCCUGACCAGCGUUCCUGACCUGCUACACUGCAAUUUUCUCCUUGAUAUGAUGAGCUGCCUCAAACACCUGCCACUGUGACUGCCCCAGCAUGAUGGGCUGGAACCUAGAAUGUGUCCCAGAGAUGACUUUAAGACCACUGGUCUCUGCUAAGGCCACUCCAGGUCUCCUGACAUCUUGCUCCUUAGGUGGCUGGAUAGUGUCUUCCAGACUCCACCCUUCUCCUGUACCUCUGCUUGGAUUUCCUGCCUGGCUCUAUCCUGUCUUGCCAUAGGCCAAAGCAGCUUUACUCAUCAACUAAUGAGAGCAACACAUAUUUACAGCAUAAAGAAAUACAUCCCACAUCGAAGAUGAGACCCCCCAAUUAUGUUUCUUCUGAAAUGAGGACUAUAUACACUAAGCUGGAAGGGUAGAAAAUAACAAGCCACCAGGGACAUGUCUGUCUCUAGGAUUUUAGUAGGAAACAAAUGAUUGUCUGUAUUGCUUAACAAAACUUGAAAAGUGUGCUCAUUCCUUUGUCUUAGUGUGUCACUCUAAGCAGUGAUGAAGAACUUGUUACCCAUUGCUUUCUGUGAAGAUCUUGGAAGUGGAUGAGAAGAAACUCCAACUUAUUUGUGUUACUUUAUUUUGGCAACUCAAUCUAUUUAGAGAAAUGGAGAGCCAAUUGUUUGUGUUGUUUAUACCAUGAUGCAAAAAGAACUUACUAGUGACUAAUAUUAGAAUUUUGAUUUUCUGUGAUUCUUUUUUGAUCCAAGUUUGAAUAACAUACAAAGAUUCUAAUUAUAAAGAGACAAAAAAAUCAAGUUUAUAGUUGAUAUACAAUAGUUAAUCAACAUUAUUGAGAAGAAAAUUUCAAUGAAUAGACAAACACACAUAUGCAUGCACAUGCUCUAUCUUUUGAGGGACCGAGAAAAUUGAUUUAACUAAUUGCAAAUGUACUAUUACUGUCUUUAAUCCUAAGACUGAAGAAAAGCCAGUGGUAAAAAAAAUUCUUAAAAGAUAGCUAAUUGCUAAAAACAAAAAAAAAAUAUAACUGCUUAGAAAUCACGGGGUAGUAAAAUUUACUGGUACUUUUAUUGAAUGUAACUGUUUUA